CAAUUUUUUUCCUACUUAUAGGGGGACACUCUGCUCAUUGCAGCUGCAAAGAAUGGUCACACUGAUAUUGUUAGGUUACUUUUAGAGAACGGAGCUGAUGUCAACGAAGGAGUAUGGGAGGACACUCCGCUCACUGCAGCUGCAAAGAAUGGUCACACUGAUAUUGUUAGGUUACUUUUAGAGAACGGAGCUGAUUUCAACAAAGGAGUACAGGAGGUCACUCUGCUCACUGCAGCUGUAAAGAAUGGUCACACUGAUAUUAAGUUACUUUUGAAGAAAGGAGCCGAUGUCAACAAUGGAGUAGGGGUACGUUAGAAGCAAAAAUUGUAUUUGUUAUAUCGGGUUUAGUGAAAGUUUGAAAGUCAAGUUCUGUAUGGUUGGUCGAAUUUUUUUCGCUGUUGAGAAAAACGUUCUAAAAGUUGCGAGCUCUUUCUACUCCUUUCU
rnacentral:misc_RNA from 1 species